GGUACAAAGGGCUGCGAGACCGCGAGGUUAAGCUAAUCCCAGAAAACCAUUCCCAGUUCGGAUUGCAGGCUGCAACCCGCCUGCAUGAAGCCGGAAUCGCUAGUAAUCGCGGAUCAGCAUGCCGCGGUGAAUACGUUCCCGGGCCUUGUACACACCGCCCGUCACACCACGAGAGUUUGUAACACCCGAAGUCGGUGAGGUAACCUUUACGGAGCCAGCC
rnacentral:rRNA from 1 species